rnacentral:misc_RNA from 1 species
GAUGAAGAACGUAGCGAAAUGCGAUAAGUAAUGCGAAUUGCAGAAUUUCCGUGAGUCAUCGAAUCUUUGAACGCACAUUGCGCCCACUGGUAUUCCGGUGGGCAUGCCUGUUCGAGCGUCAUUAUCCUCCCUCAAAACUCCUGUUUUGGUGUUGGGCCGCGUUGGUCACCUCCGACCAACGGGCCUUAAAGACAAUGACGGCGUCCGUGGGACCCUCUUCGCAGUGAGCUUUUGUUAGCGCGCGUUGCGUUUAAAGGACCUUCCGGGCCGGCCACCUUUUAUCUAUUUUACAAGGUUGACCUCGGAUCAGGUAGGAAUACCCGCUGAACUUAAGCAUAUCAAUAAGCGGAGGA